UAACCCGGAUCCGUGUUGUAAAUAUGGC
rnacentral:sRNA from 1 species